CCUGCCUUGGAGACCAAGGACUUUUCCUUUCCAUUCAAUCUUCUUGACUAUACAAAUCAAUCAUAGUACCAAUUGGAAUUCAACAUCACAAAAUCAAAACCAAUUUUCAAUUCUAAUUCUCCUCUCUGUUUCGAACCAACAACCCACCAAAGCUUCCCUCCUUCUUCCUUUCACGGCACCACCGUGCUGCAACCACCAUUAACCACCACAACAGCCACCGACCACCACCAUUCCCACCACUGUUCGACCACCACCCCAGCACCACUCGGCCAGCCAGAAACACCACCGUACUCAACCACCGUCCCCUGCUUCCCCGCUUCGCACUCCCCUGCCUCUCCCCUUUUCUCUUCGCUGCACCACCCGCACCAACACCACACCACACACCACCACCUCCAGCCACCCUCACCAUCUCGUCAACCACCUCCGCCCUCAAUUCCGGCGAGCCGCCGCCCAAAACCACCCAGAAACAAACCCGAAUUUCCCCUGUUUUCACUCACUUCGUGCUCCAUUUUCUGUCUCCCUCGCCGUUCCUCUGCCACCAAACCACCGCCAUCACCGUCGCAACCCAUCUGCGACGCCCAGCCAGACACCCAGUCGGCCACCUUCUUCCCCCCCUCUUCCCUGUGCUCUGCUCUGUCGUACCCCUACCUCUUCUCUCUUGUCGUUCGUCCACCGCACAACCACCACCCUCACCGUCGCAUCCGACACCGAGCCGCCCAGCCGACCACCUUUCCCUUCCUUCCUCCUCUCUUUCCUCCCCUGCUCUUCUUCGUGCCCCCUCCCCUGUUUCUAUUCCCUUUCCCAGAAGAACCGAAAAUCAGGUUUCUUGAAACCUUGAAUUUUAUUCACAUCAAAUCCAUACUUGAGUUGGGCUAUUCUAACUUGGGCCUUUGAAUUGAACUCGGAGCUCAGGACGAACGAACCAAGGAAAAUCCCUAGGAAAUCGCGGAGUUAGGUACCGCUGGGAACGAUGGGAACGAGUAGUGGCGAGGAUUUCACUAUUAUAUUAUUCACCUAGUUUAUGCUUAAUGUUUUAAUAGUUUAAUUAAAGACUUUUAGUAAUUUAUGUACUUAUAUUUUGGGAAUAUAAAGGAUUAUUAUAUUAGAUUGGAGGUUUUUAUGGCUUAUGUAUGAUGUUGCCUUGAAAUUUCCAAGAGGGAAUUACGGCAGGUAAUGUCCCGACCAAAUUAGGGUAAUUCCGCUGCUAAUUAUGCUUUAAUAAGUGAUUUAGAGGUCGGGGCGUUACAAUUAUACUCCCUCCGAAUAUAAAUAUUUUUCCCAUUUC